rnacentral:rRNA from 1 species
GACGAACGCUGGCGGCGUGCCUAAUACAUGCAAGUCGAGCGGACCGGAUUGGGGCUUGCCUUGAUUCGGUCAGCGGCGGACGGGUGAGUAACACGUGGGCAACCUGCCCGCAAGACCGGGAUAACUCCGGGAAACCGGAGCUAAUACCGGAUAACACCGAAGACCGCAUGGUCUUCGGUUGAAAGGCGGCCUUUGGGCUGUCACUUGCGGAUGGGCCCGCGGCGCAUUAGCUAGUUGGUGAGGUAACGGCUCACCAAGGCGACGAUGCGUAGCCGGCCUGAGAGGGUGACCGGCCACACUGGGACUGAGACACGGCCCAGACUCCUACGGGAGGCAGCAGUAGGGAAUCUUCCGCAAUGGGCGAAAGCCUGACGGAGCGACGCCGCGUGAGCGAAGAAGGCCUUCGGGUCGUAAAGCUCUGUUGUGAGGGACGAAGGAGCGUCGUUCGAAGAGGGCGGCGCGGUGACGGUACCUCACGAGAAAGCCCCGGCUAACUACGU